CCUACGGGUGGCAGCAGUGGGGAAUAUUGCACAAUGGGGGAAACCCUGAUGCAGCGACGCCGCGUGAGUGAAGAAGCGUUUCGGCGCGUAAAGCUCUGUCAGCGGGGAAGAAACACGGUUCGCGAGAGCCGCGGACGGUACCCGACCAAGAAGCCCCGGCUAACUACGUGCCAGCAGCCGCGGUAAUACGUAGGGGGCAAGCGUUAUCCGGAUUCACUGGGUGUAAAGGGAGCGUAGGCGGGCGUUCAAGUCAGCUGUAAAAUCGCGCGGCUCAACCGCGCCCCGCAGUUGAAACUGGACGCUUUGAGUUCACAACAGGCAGGCGGAAUUCGUGGUGUAGCGGUGAAAUGCAUAGAUAUCACGAGGAACCCCGAUUGCGAAGGCAGCCUGCCGGGGUGCGACUGACGCUGAGGCUCGAAGGUGCGGGUAUCAAACAGGAUUAGAUACCCCAGUAGUC
rnacentral:rRNA from 1 species